rfam:Triticum aestivum genome assembly, contig: Triticum_aestivum_CS42_TGACv1_scaffold_112489_2AS
UGCGUGCUGUCACUUCUAAAUUUUUUGUCUUAGAUUUGUCUAAAUACGGAUGUAUCUAAUUAUGUUUUAGUGUUAGAUACAUCCGUAUCUAGACAAAUCUAAGACAAGAAUUUUAGGACGGAGGGAGUACGAU